GUUGGGUAGGGGAGCGUUCUGUAAGCCGUUGAAGGUGUGUCGUGAGGCAUGCUGGAGGUAUCAGAAGUGCGAAUGCUGACAUAAGUAACGAUAAAGCGGGUGAAAAGCCCGCUCGCCGGAAGACCAAGGGUUCCUGUCCAACGUUAAUCGGGGCAGGGUGAGUCGACCCCUAAGGCGAGGCCGAAAGGCGUAGUCGAUGGGAAACGGGUUAAUAUUCCCGUACUUGGUGUUACUGCGAAGGGGGGACGGAGAAGGCUAUGUUGGCCGGGCGACGGUUGUCCCGGUUUAAGCGUGCAGGUGUGUGUUCCAGGUAAAUCCGGUUCACUUUAACACUGAGGCGUGAUGACGAGGCACCACGGUGCUGAAGCAACAAAUGCCCUGCUUCCAGGAAAAGCCUCUAAGCCUCAGGUAACAUCAAAUCGUACCCCAAACCGACACAGGUGGUCAGGUAGAGAAUACCAAGGCGCUUGAGAGAACUCGGGUGAAGGAACUAGGCAAAAUGGUGCCGUAACUUCGGGAGAAGGCACGCUGACACGUAGGUGAAGUGGUUUACCCAUGGAGCUGAAGUCAGUCGAAGAUACCAGCUGGCUGCAACUGUUUAUUAAAAACACAGCACUGUGCAAACACGAAAGUGGACGUAUACGGUGUGACGCCUGCCCGGUGCCGGAAGGUUAAUUGAUGGGGUCAGCGCAAGCGAAGCUCCUGAUCGAAGCCCCGGUAAACGGCGGCCGUAACUAUAACGGUCCUAAGGUAGCGAAAUUCCUUGUCGGGUAAGUUCCGACCUGCACGAAUGGCGUAAUGAUGGCCAGGCUGUCUCCACCCGGGACUCAGUGAAAUUGAACUCGCUGUGAAGAUGCAGUGUACCCGCGGCAAGACGGAAAGACCCCGUGAACCUUUACUAUAGCUUGACACUGAACACUGGUCCUUGAUGUGCAGGAUAGGUGGGAGGCUUUGAAGUGUGGACGCCAGUCUGCAUGGAGCCAUCCUUGAAAUACCACCCUUUAAUGGCUGGUGUUCUAACGUGGGCCCGUGAACCGGGUUGCGGACAGUGUCUGGUGGGUAGUUUGACUGGGGCGGUCUCCUCCUAAAGAGUAACGGAGGAGCACGAAGGUUGGCUAAUCCUGGUCGGACAUCAGGAGGUUAGUGCAAUGGCAUAAGCCAGCUUGACUGCGAGCGUGACGGCGCGAGCAGGUGCGAAAGCAGGUCAUAGUGAUCCGGUGGUUCUGAAUGGAAGGGCCAUCGCUCAACGGAUAAAAGGUACUCCGGGGAUAACAGGCUGAUACCGCCCAAGAGUUCAUAUCGACGGCGGUGUUUGGCACCUCGAUGUCGGCUCAUCACAUCCUGGGGCUGAAGUAGGUCCCAAGGGUAUGGCUGUUCGCCAUUUAAAGUGGUACGCGAGCUGGGUUUAGAACGUCGUGAGACAGUUCGGUCCCUAUCUGCCGUGGGCGCUGGAAGAUUGAGGGGGGCUGCUCCUAGUACGAGAGGACCGGAGUGGACGCAUCACUGGUGUUCGGGUUGUCAUGCCAAUGGCACUGCCCGGUAGCUACAUGCGGAAGAGAUAAGUGCUGAAAGCAUCUAAGCACGAAACUUGCCCCGAGAUGAAUCUUCCCUGAGCCUUUAAGGCUCCUGAAGGAACGUUGA
rnacentral:rRNA from 2 species